rnacentral:misc_RNA from 1 species
ACGAUUACGAAGUGAAAAUGCGCAAUGCGCGGCGCUUCGUCGAGGACGGCGACAAGGUCAAAGUGACGAUGCGCUUCCGUGGGCGCGAAAUGGCGCACCAGGAACUCGGGCUGCAAGUCCUCAAUCAGGUUCGUGACGAGUUGGAAGACCUUUCCAGGGUGGAACAUGCCCCCAAGAUGGAAGGCCGCCAGAUGAUCAUGAUCCUGGGUCCUGAUCCGCGGAAAAUCGCAGCUCUGCAGAAGGCGCAAAAGGAAGCCGAGAAGGCUCGCA